rnacentral:rRNA from 1 species
AGAGUUUGAUCAUGGCUCAGAACGAACGCUGGCGGCAGGCUUAACACACGCAAGUCGAACGCGUGUAGCAAUACACGAGUGGCGCACGGGUGAGUAACGCGUGGAUAUCUGCCUUUUGGUUCGGAAUAACUCCGGGAAACUGGAGCUAAUACCGGAUGGUUCCUACGGGAUAAAGAUUUAUCGCCAAAAGAUGAGUCCGCGUACGAUUAGCUAGUUGGUGAGGUAAUGGCUCACCAAGGCGACGAUCGUUAGCUGGUCUGAGAGGACGAUCAGCCACACUGGGACUGAGACACGGCCCAGACUCCUACGGGAGGCAGCAGGUGGGGAAUAUUGGACAAGUGGGGGCCAACCCUGAUCCAGCCAUGCCGCGUGAGUGAUGAAGGCCGUUCGGUUGUAAAGCUUCUUUGGCGGGGACGAUGAUGACGGUACCCGCAGAAUAAGCCCCGGCUAACUUCGUG